AAGUCGUAACAAGGUUUCCGUAGGUGAACCUGCGGAAGGAUCAUUAAAGUUAUAGUCCCCCGGCCCUCUGGGCUGGGGUCUUCUAUACCACCCUUUGUUUAUUACACCUUUGUUGCUUUGGCAGGCCUGCCCUCGGGCUGCUGGCUCCGGCCGGCUCGCGCCUGCCAGAGGACCUAAACUCUGUUUGUAUAUGAAGUCUGAGUACUAUAUAAUAGUUAAAACUUUCAACAACGGAUCUCUUGGUUCUGGCAUCGAUGAAGAACGCAGCGAAAUGCGAUAAGUAAUGUGAAUUGCAGAAUUCAGUGAAUCAUCGAAUCUUUGAACGCACAUUGCGCCCCCUGGUAUUCCGGGGGGCAUGCCUGUUCGAGCGUCAUUACAACCCUCAAGCUCUGCUUGGUGUUGGGCCCCGCCGCCCCGGCGGGCCCUAAAAUCAGUGGCGGUGCCGCCCGGCUCCGAGCGUAGUAAUUCUUCUCGCUCUGGAGGACCGGGUGCGUGCUCGCCAGCAACCCCCAAUUUUUUCAGGUUGACCUCGGAUCAGGUAGGGAUACCCGCUGAACUUAA
rnacentral:rRNA from 1 species